GACGAACGCUGGCGGCGUGCUUAACACAUGCAAGUCGAACGGAAAGGCCCUGCUUUUGUGGUGUGCUCGAGUGGCGAACUGAUGAGUAACACGUGAGUAACCUGCCCUUGACUUUGUGAUAACUUCAGGAAACUGGGGCUAAUACCGGAUAGGAGCUCCUGCUGCAUGUUGGGGGUUGGAAAGUUUCGGCGGUUGGGGAUGGACUCGCGGCUUAUCAGCUUGUUGGUGGGGUAGUGGCUUACCAAGGCUUUGACGGGUAGCCGGCCUGAGAGGGUGACCGGCCACGUUGGGACUGAGAUACGGCCCAGACUCCUACGGGAGGCAGCAGUGGGGAAUAUUGCACAAUGGGCGGAAGCAUGAUGCAGCAACGCCGCGUGCGGGAUGACGGCCUUCGGGUUGUAAACCGCUUUCGCCUGUGACGAAGCGUGAGUGACGGUAAUGGGUAAAGAAGCACCGGCUAACUACGUG
rnacentral:rRNA from 1 species